AGUUACAAUGGCAGGUACAGAGGGGUGCUACCGGGUGACCGGAUGCCGAUCUCGAAAACCUGUCCCAGUUCGGACUGGAGUCUGCAACCCGACUCCACGAAGUUGGAUUCGCUAGUAAUCGCGCAUCAGCCAUGGCGCGGUGAAUACGUUCCCGGGCCUUGUACACACCGCCCGUCAAGCCAUGGGAGCCGGGGGCGCCUGAAGUCCGGGACCGCGAGGACCGGCCUAGGGCGAAACUGGUGACUGGGGCUAAGUCGUAACAAGGUACC
rnacentral:rRNA from 1 species